UACAGAGGGGGCAAGCGUUGUUCGGAAUUACUGGGCGUAAAGGGCGCGUAGGCGGCCACUUAAGUCAGACGUGAAAUCCCUUGGCUCAACCAAGGAACUGCGUCUGAUACUGAGUGGCUUGAGUCCGGGAGAGGGAAGCGGAAUUCCAGGUGUAGCGGUGAAAUGCGUAGAUAUCUGGAGGAACACCGGUGGCGAAGGCGGCUUCCUGGACCGGUACUGACGCUGAGGCGCGAAAGCCAGGGGAGCAAACGGG
rnacentral:rRNA from 1 species